rnacentral:rRNA from 1 species
GACGUACCACCCGAACGUUAUUCGGAUUCACUGGGCUUACAGAGUCCGUAGGCGGUCAAGAAAGUUAGGCGUGAAAUCCCUCAGCUCAACUGAGGAAUAGCGCUUAAAAACUACUUGGCUAGAGAGAGUCAGAGGUGAGCGGAACUGAUGGUGGAGCGGUGAAAUGCGUUGAUAUCAUCAGGAACACCGGUGGCGAAAAGCGGCUCACUGGGGGCUUUUUCUGACGCUGAGGGGACGAAAAGCUAGGGGGAGCGAACGGGG